rnacentral:rRNA from 1 species
CCUACGGGAGACAGCAGUGGGGGAUAUUGCACAAUGGGGGAAACCCUGAUGCAGCGACGCCGCGUGGGUGAAGAAGUAUUUCGGUAUGUAAAGCCCUAUCAGCAGGGAAGAAAGAAGACGGUACCUGACUAAGAAGCCCCGGCUAACUACGUGCCAGCAGCCGCGGUAAUACGUAGGGGGCGAGCGUUAUCCGGAUUCACUGGGUGUAAAGGGAGCGUAGACGGCCGUGCAAGUCAGGAGUGAAAGCCCGGGGCCCAACCCCGGGACUGCUCUUGGAACUGCAUGGCUGGAGUACAGGAGGGGCAGGCGGAAUUCCUAGUGUAGCGGUGAAAUGCGUAGAUAUUAGGAGGAACACCGGUGGCGAAGGCGGCCUGCUGGACUGUGACUGACGUUGAGGCCCGAAGGCGUGGGGAGCGAACAGGAUUAGAUACCCUUGUAGUC